GGACAGGUGGCCGAGUGGCUGAAGGCGUCAGUCUCGAAAACUGAUAUACCGGCAACGGUAUCGUGGGUUCGAAUCCCACCCUGUCCGCCA
rnacentral:tRNA from 1 species